rnacentral:rRNA from 1 species
CAAUAGCGUAUAUUAAAGUUGUUGCAGUUAAAAAGCUCGUAGUUGGAUUUCUGGUCGGAAGCUCCUGUCCUCUGAUGAGCGUACAAGUGCGUCCUACCAUCCUUCUGUUAACCUUUAAGGCUUUCGCGGCUUUCUAGGGGCUCAGAUAUUUUACCUUGAGAAAAUUAGAGUGUUUCAGGCAGGCUAGCGCCGGAAUACAUUAGCAUGGAAUAAUGGAAUAGGACUUUUGCCUCUUCUGUUGGUCAUGAGGCUCGAGUAAUGAUUAAUAGGGAUAGUUGGGGGCAUUAGUACUUAACUGUCAGAGGUGAAAUUCUCGGAUUUGUUAAAGACUAACUUACGCGAAAGCAUUUGCCAAGGAUGUUUUCAUUAA